ACACUAGCCAAUUUCAAUUAAAAAAUAACUCCCUCCCACGUACCCACUCUAACUCUAUCCUCUCCCAUCUCAAACUCACUCUUCUGUCGUCUGUAUUCACAAACCCUCAGCCCUCUUCCUCAAUCGCCGUUGUCUGUAAGCCGCCCUCUCCCUAAACCGCCGUUUUCAGCAUCAAACUCGUCCUCUCCCUCAAAUCCGCCAUCUCUCUCCCUUAAAGCGCGGUCUUUCUCACAUCUCUCUCCCGUCACCGCGCCGCCAACACCACGUCGCCGUCUGUAUGCCGCCAUCACCACGCCGCAUCGUGCCACCCCUGGUCAGUCGGCACAGCCACGACCACCUCCUGCUCGGCACAACCAAACGGUCCAAACUCUUGUGAAUCAAACCCUUGCGAAUGGUGGUUGCAUCAAUUCCCCUGCUCCAAAUACAAACCCUCUUCCAAACCUUUGGCCCUUUGCUGGUAGUAAGUCUCAAUUAUACAUUUUUUUCUUUCAUUUUCUAAUAUUUUAUUGUUCGAAAGACAAUUAUUGAUUUUUGCUAAAAAUUUCUUAUACAUACUUGAGUAUACAGUGAGAAGAAUUGUCUGAAAUUAGUCUUCUCUGCUAGUUUUACCUCUGAAAUUCAAGAUUAAAAAUUGCAACUCGAUCUAUAUACAAGUUAAAUUAUAAGAAAAUUCAUUGUGACGUGAUUUUUUGUUUACAAUAUUUAUUAGGACUGGUGGUCUAGAUAUGUUCAUAACAGAGAGAGAGCAGAGAGUCUAUAUUGUUUCAGAGAUGGAUAUUUUAAGGCUAUUUAUCUUGAAAAUCAUAUAAGUUUAGAAUAUCUAAUUUUGUAUAUAUAUUCAUGAGUGGUGGAAGUUGAGUUUGUUAGUCUUGACUUCUUGAUCUUUGGCUUUUCUCACAAGUUGAGUAAUUUAUAUGUAGAUUAUAUGCAAUGGGUAACUGAAGGUGCAAUUUUCAAUUGACUUAUUGUAUGCAUGCUAUCAGUGUUUUGUCAUGUAAUUGUAUUUUUUGGACAGUUGCACGAAUGUCUGUAUGGAAAGGGUGCAAUUGAUUCCACUCACAAUCAUGAAUAUUUCAUUGAUAUGCUAAACUUAUAUUUGCUCAUAUUGAUGCCUCCUUUGUUUCUGCAUAAUUCUUCUUUGUUGCUGCAAGGUGAGUGCUCUUUUGUAGCUAUGGUCAUUCCGUUUGUUUAUUGCAUGAAGAGUCAAUAUUUUGGAUGAACGAUUGCUUUUCAGUUUGCAUUCGAAAGCCUCAUGCAAGAGACUGUUGCAUCAAUGGCCCGAUAAUAUGUGCGCAGCAUCAUAUCAUCUGUUCAGAGGGUCGCCUUAGCUCUCUCUUCGGUUCACCUUGUACCUAAUGCUGGUCUUCGGUCACCCAUCUGUGGUUCCAUAUUUUUUAUUGAAUGGAUAACUGAGUUUUUUUAUUGGAUGAAUAACUAACUUUUGUUUUUUGUUGAAAGGGCUAUUUUUAUAUUCAAUGCCAAAUUGGAGAAAAGAGAUUAAAAAAAACAACCUAUUUGGGAUAUUAUAAAGGAUGUGUUACAUGAAACAAAUUAUUGAAGAGCUUAUGAAGAAUGGUCGCUUUUGCCUAUACAUUCACAUGAUAUUGGUGAAGUUCGUGUUGAGUGGGUGAAUCUCAUUCUUAGUCACAUAUAAAAAGUAGAGGAUAUGCUGGAAAUGAAGCAAAAACAGGAGAGACUUUUGCCGUAGUCUCAAACAAGAAAGAGAAUGAGAAGGAAGCAAAAACAGGAGAGACUCCGUCCAAUAUAUAUUUUUUUUCGAUUUCACGGGUGGGUCCCACUCUACGGAUAUAAACUGCCAAUUGAAGGAUAAAAAGAGCAAAAUACGCAUAAGAUUCCUAUUUUUUGAAGUUUCAAUUGAUGGAUUAUAUUCUUAGUGGCAGUCAGUAUAUAAGCAAAAUAUUUUAUAACCCAUGAUCAAAUUUACGAAAUAACACACUUGAAUUUUGGAAAU